rnacentral:rRNA from 1 species
UACAGAGGUCCCGAGCGUUGUUCGGAUUUACUGGGCGUAAAGGGUGCGUAGGUGGUUGGGUAAGUUUGAGGUGAAAGCUCCGAGCCUAACUCGGAAAAUGCCUUGAAGACUAUCUGUCUAGAGGUUUGGAGGGGAGACUGGAAUUCUCGGUGUAGCAGUGAAAUGCGUAGAUAUCGGGAGGAACACCAGUGGCGAAGGCGAGUCUCUGGACAAUUCCUGACACUGAGACACGAAAGCCAAGGGAGCAAACGGGAUUAGAUACCCCGGUAGACUUGGCUGUAAACGCUGCGCACUAGCUGUGAGCGGAUUCGACCCCGCUCGUGGCGAAGUUAACACGAUAAGUGCGCCGCCUGGGAAGUACGGUCGCAAGAUUA